CAAUAGCGUAUAUUAAAGUUGUUGCGGUUAAAAAGCUCGUAGUUGGAUUUCUGCCGAGGACGACCGGUCCGCCCUCCGGGUGAGUAUCUGGUUUGGCCUGGGCAUCUUCUUGGAGAACGUAGCUGCACUUGACUGUGUGGUGCGGUGUCCAGGACUUUUACUUUGAGGAAAUUAGAGUGUUUCAAGCAGGCACACGCCUUGAAUACAUUAGCAUGGAAUAAUAAGAUAGGACCUCGGUUCUAUUUUGUUGGUUUCUAGAGCUGAGGUAAUGAUUAAUAGGGAUAGUUGGGGGCAUUCGUAUUUAACUGUCAGAGGUGAAAUUCUUGGAUUUGUUAAAGACGAACUAGUGCGAAAGCAUUUGCCAAGGAUGUUUUCAUUGA
rnacentral:rRNA from 1 species